ensembl:snoRNA SNORA71 Small nucleolar RNA SNORA71
ACCUGCAUUCAAAAGUGAUCUUUGUCUGUCUGUCCUACUCAUUGAUAGUUCAGAGAGAGGAGUUGCAGAAAGCACUUCCCCAUGUUUGGAAGGUCCUGUCCCUUCUUCCAAACUCUGGAGCCUUCCCAUA